CUUAUUCAAUGCUUCUGAGCGCCGUCCUCCUCACCUGUCGGUGAUUAAUAAUUAUGUUUUUCACCUGCUGCUAUCGUUACUCAGGACUAUUGAGGCCAUUCUCAUUGUGUGUGGAUGUCACGAUAACGCCAGGUGCGGCCCGAUGGCGUUGACCUCCACAAAUGGCCGGAACAUGGCAUUGGUCUGCCAGAGGAGGUUGUUCACACCGACCACUGAAAGAAAAGGACAGGUGCUGAGUGUGUGUGAUAAAACUAAGUAUCUGGGGCACAUCAUUACUGAUCUAUUGGGUGAUGAUGAGGACCUAUACAGACAGCGGCGUAUGCUGUAUACCCAACCCAACAUGCUGAGAAAGAAAUGUUAUUAUUGUACAAAUGAUGUAAAGAUCAACUUAUUCAAAGCCUAUUGCACUCCUCUGUAUCCUGCCGCCCUGUGGGUAAAGUAUCAGCAGAAAAGCUUACAGAAGCUGCAGGUUGCUUAUAAUGAUUGUACAGUAUGAGGCUUCUCCUUGGAAUUCCAAGAAGCGCCAGUGCAAGCCAGAUGUCUGUUAGUGUUGGGGUGCCCACUUUCUCAGUGUUGCUACGCAACCUUUUGUAUACGUUCAUGUGUAGAGCAUCUGAGUCUGAACAUGACAUAAUCACUGUGUUAAUGAACCCUGGCUGCAGUUCUGUUAGGUACUCCUCUGGACUGUGGAACCAUUGCCACACAUGUUUGUAUGUUAGAAACUGACAUUUGGGCUUUAUGUUUUAUCUUUUUUUAAUGUUUUGUUAUUUUAUUUUUUGUUUUUAAUGUUUUGUAUUGUGUUUUUAUAUGUUUAAUGAAUCUUAAGAUCUGCAAUAAAGAUUGAUGAAUAAAUUAACAAUA